rnacentral:rRNA from 1 species
CGAGAAAGGGUAGCAAUACCUGAGUAAAGUGGCGCACGGGUGAGUAACACGUGACUAACCUACCCUGGAGUGGGGGAUAACUGGGAGAAAUCCUAGCUAAUACCGCAUAACACCUACGGGUCAAAGGAGCAAUUCGCUUCAGGAGGGGGUCGCGGUCGAUUAGUUAGUUGGCGGGGUAAUGGCCCACCAAGACUGUGAUCGAUAUCCGGCCUGAGAGGGCGCACGGACACACUGGAACUGAAACACGGUCCAGACUCCUACGGGAGGCAGCAGUGGGGAAUUUUGCGCAAUGGGGGAAACCCUGACGCAGCAACGCCGCGUGGAGGAUGAAGUCCUUCGGGACGUAAACUCCUUUCGAUCGGGACGAUUAUGACGGUACCGGAAGAAGAAGCCCCGGCUAACUUCGUGCCAGCAGCCGCGGUAAUACGAGGGGGGCGAGCGUUGUUCGGAAUUAUUGGGCGUAAAGGGUGCGUAGGCGGUUUGGUAAGUCUUGUGUGAAAUCUACAGGCUCAACUUGUAGUCUGCACGAGAAACUGCCGGGCUUGAGUAUGGGAGAGGUGAGUGGAAUUCCUGGUGUAGCGGUGAAAUGCGUAGAUAUCAGGAGGAACACCUGUGGCGAAAGCGGCUCACUGGACCAUAACUGACGCUGAUGCACGAAAGCUAGGGGAGCAAACAGGAUUAGAUACCCUGGUAGUCCUAGCCCUAAACGAUGACUGCUUGGUGUGACGGGUAC